GCGUAGGCGAUGGAAAACAGGUUUAAUAUUCCUGUACCAGUUUAAUAUUGUUUGAGCUAAGGGGGGACGCAGAAGUGAAAGGAGAUCCCGGUUUUGAUUGUCCGGGUUUAAGUGUGUAGGGAGUUCUGGUAGGCAAAUCCGCUGGAACAAUCCUGAGACACGAAUAGGAGGGCCUAGCCCAUAAACUCUCCCUAAUCAUGCUGACAAGAAAAUCCUCUAUGUAAGAUAUUAGACUGACCGUACCGUAAACGGACACACGUACGCGAGGAGAGAAUCCUAAGGCGCUUGAGAGAAUCCAAGUUAAGGAACUAGGCAAAUUGGCCCCGUAACUUCGGGAGAAGGGGUACCUUUUGAGGAAAUGGACUUCGCGUCCUGAUUUUUGAGAGGUCGCAGUGACCAGGCCCAAGCGACUGUUUACUAAAAACACAGGUCUCUGCUAAGUCGUAAGACGAAAUAUAGGGACUGACACCUGCCCGGUGCUGGAAGGUUAAAUGGAGAGGUUAGCACUUCGGUGCGAAGCUUUGAAAUGAAGCCCCAGUAAACGGCGGCCGUAACUAUAACGGUCCUAAGGUAGCGAAAUUCCUUGUCGGGUAAGUUCCGACCUGCACGAAUGGUGUAACGAAUUGGGCACUGUCUCUACUUGGAGCUCAGCGAAAUUGAAGUGUCGGUGAAGAUGCCGGCUACCCGCGGCCGGACGAAAAGACCCCGUGCACCUUUACUAUAACCUAGCAUUGGAUACUGAUUCUGCAUGUGCAGGAUAGGUGGGAGACUUUGAAGCGGAGACGUCAGUCUUCGUGGAGUCAUCCUUGAAAUACCACCCUUGUAUUGUUAGUAUUCUAAUCCCAUCCCGUGAAUCCGGGUGAGAGACAUUGUUAGGCGGGUAGUUUGACUGGGGCGGUCUCCUCCUAAAAAGUAACGGAGGAACCCAAAGGUUCCCUCAGCAUGGUCGGUAAUCAUGCGUAGAGCGCAAAGGCAUAAGGGAGCUUGACUGUGAGGUCGACGGACCGAGCAGGUACGAAAGUAGGGCUUAGUGAUCUGGUGGUUCCGUAUGGAAGGGCCAUCACUCAAUGGAUAAAAGGUACUCCGGGGAUAACAGGCUUAUCUCCCCCAAGAGUUCACAUCGACGGGGAGGUUUGGCACCUCGAUGUCGGCUCAUCACAUCCUGGGGCUGGAGAAGGUCCCAAGGGUUGGGCUGUUCGCCCAUUAAAGUGGUACGUGAGCUGGGUUUAGAACGUCGUGAGACAGUUCGGUCUCUAUCCGCCGUGGGCGCAGGAGAAUUGAAGGAAUCUGCUUCUAGUACGAGAGGACCGAAGUGGACGAACCUCUGGUGCACCAGUUGUUUCAUCAGAAGCAUCGCUGGGUAGCUAUGUUCGGAAAGGAUAAGCGCUGAAAGCAUAUAAGUGCGAAACCUGACCUAAGAUUAGUUCUCCCUAUCAUAUUGAUAAUAAGGCUCGUUGUAGACUACGACGUUGAUAGGCCACAAGUGUAAGUGCAGUAAUGCAUUCAGCUGAGUGGUACUAAUUAGCCGAAUGGCUUUAUCAAUCUUUCUU
rnacentral:rRNA from 1 species